AGCGAACGCUGGCGGCAGGCCUAACACAUGCAAGUCGAACGAACUCUUCGGAGUUAGUGGCGGACGGGUGAGUAACACGUGGGAACGUGCCUUUAGGUUCGGAAUAACUCAGGGAAACUUGUGCUAAUACCGAAUGUGCCCUUCGGGGGAAAGAUUUAUCGCCUUUAGAGCGGCCCGCGUCUGAUUAGCUAGUUGGUUGGGGUAAUGGCCCACCAAGGCGACGAUCAGUAGCUGGUCUGAGAGGAUGACCAGCCACAUUGGGACUGAGACACGGCCCAAACUCCUACGGGAGGCAGCAGUGGGGAAUCUUGCGCAAUGGGCGAAAGCCUGACGCAGCCAUGCCGCGUGUAUGAUGAAGGUCUUAGGAUUGUAAAAUACUUUCACCGGUGAAGAUAAUGACUGUAGCCGGAGAAGAGGCCCCGGCUAACUUCGUGCCAGCCGCCGCCGUAAAAC
rnacentral:rRNA from 1 species